rnacentral:rRNA from 1 species
UAGGGAAUCUUCGGCAAUGGGGGCAACCCUGACCGAGCAACGCCGCGUGAGUGAAGAAGGUUUUCGGAUCGUAAAGCUUUGUUGUAAGAGAAGAACGUGUGUGAGAGUGGAAAGUUCACACAGUGACGGUAACUUACCAGAAAGGGACGGCUAACUACGUGCCAGCAGCCGCGGUAAUACGUAGGUCCCGAGCGUUGUCCGGAUUUAUUGGGCGUAAAGCGAGCGCAGGCGGCUUAAUAAGUCUGAAGUUAAAGGCAGUGGCUUAACCAUUGUUCGCUUUGGAAAAUGUUAAACUUGAGUGCAGAAGGGGAGAGUGGAAUUCCAUGUGUAGCGGUGAAAUGCGUAGAUAUAUGGAGGAACACCGGUGGCGAAAGCGGCUCUCUGGUCGGUAACUGACGCUGAGGAUCGAAAGCGUGGGGAGCAAACAGG